rnacentral:rRNA from 1 species
CCCUUAGACGUUCUGGGCCGCACGCGCGCUACACUGACGAAGGCAACGAGCUUUCCUUUACCGAAAGGUACGGGUAAUCUUUUGAAACUUCGUCGUGCUGGGGAUAGAUCCUUGCAAUUUUUGAUCUUAAACGAGGAAUGCCUAGUAAGCGCAAGUCAUCAACUUGCGUUGAAUACGUCCCUGCCCUUUGUACACACCGCCCGUCGCUCCUACCGAUUGAGUGGUCCGGUGAGGCUUUGGGAUCUGAGCGGAAAGAGCGUUUCGCUGUUUCUGCUCGGAAAACUCAGUCGAACCUUAUCAUUUAGAGGAAGGAGAAGUCGUAACA